UAAUUGAAGAGUUUGAUCAUGGCUCAGAUUGAACGCUGGCGGCAGGCCUAACACAUGCAAGUCGAGCGGUAACAUUUCAAAAGCUUGCUUUUGAAGAUGACGAGCGGCGGACGGGUGAGUAAUGGCUGGGAACCUGCCCUGAUGUGGGGGAUAACAGUUGGAAACGACUGCUAAUACCGCAUGAUGUCUACG
rnacentral:rRNA from 1 species